rnacentral:misc_RNA from 1 species
GAUGAAGAACGCAGCGAAAUGCGAUAAGUAGUGUGAAUUGCAGAAUUCAGUGAAUCAUCGAAUCUUUGAACGCACAUUGCGCCCCUUGGUACUCCAUGGGGCAUGCCUGUUCGAGCGUCAUUUACACCCUCAAGCUCAGCUUGGUGUUGGGCGUCUGUCCCGCUUCGUGCGCGGACUCGCCUCAAAUGCAUUGGCAGCGGUCUUGCCAGCUUCUCGCGCAGCACAUUGCGCUUCUAGAGGCUUUGGCGGAUCGGCGUCCAUCAAGUACACCCACAGUUUGACCUCGGAUCAGGUAGGGAUACCCGCUGAACUUAAGCAUAUCAAUAAGCGGAGA